UCACCAGAGUUUGAAAGUUACUUUUUUUCCCCUGAGAGGAGAAAUACUAUCUCCCUACCUCUGAACAUUAUUUCUUUAAGGAGGUAUUCAUGGGGGAAUGUGUUUGAGCAAUUUAUGAGCAGCAUAGAAUGAAAUCAAAUAUAUAAAUUACCAUUAUGAUUUAGCAGAACAGGAAAGAAAAUGGACUCUCCUUCAUUAAUUGCGAUUUAAAAGUUACAGAAAGAAUACACUAAAAAUCAGGAGAAACUGAAGACGAGAAAACCUAACCAUUCUAUUCUGCGCAAGCUUCAUUUAAACAAAGGACAGCAUUUCAUAAUUAGUCUAGCUGUGAUAUGUACAUCGUACAGGCUUUUCUGUCUAAUUGCAGAGCCAGAGAACGAAAGCAUCUGUAGUGCUGUGGAAAAAGUGGUCGUGUGCUCUUGGGGAAGCUGCAAUCCAGUGCGAGCCUUAGGACGGAUCGAUGUGCCCAGUUCCUGCAGUUUUAGCUGCCUUGCUGGUAGGGUCAUUAUCCCAGGGGCUGUAGCUAAAAGGCCAGAAGCACACGUAGGAAAUCCAUGCUGUUCAGAUGGUGCUCCUGGGAAGAGUGGAAGGAAAGGGAGGAGUGCAGAACAAGAACCAUCACCAUUUUUUUUCUAUUUUAAAUCAUUCUCCUUUCCGCUUAGUCUAAAAUCCUGUUGCAUUUCUCACAGAUGUUUGGCCAUUA